ACAUGAGGCUCACCCAUGU
rnacentral:misc_RNA from 1 species